rnacentral:rRNA from 1 species
CGUCCAGACUCCUACGGGAGGCAGCAGUGGGGAAUAUUGCACAAUGGGGGAAGCCCUGAUGCAGCGACGCCGCGUGAGCGAAGAAGUACCUCGGUAUGUAAAGCUCUAUCAGCAGGGAAGAAAAUGACGGUACCUGACUAAGAAGCCCCGGCUAACUACGUGCCAGCAGCCGCGGUAAUACGUAGGGGGCAAGCGUUAUCCGGAUUUACUGGGUGUAAAGGGAGCGUAGACGGCAGUGCAAGUCCGGAGUGAAAGCCCGGGGCUCAACCCUGGGACUGCUCUGGAAACUGUAAAGCUGGAGUGCGGGAGGGGCAGGCGGAAUUCCUGGUGUAGCGGUGAAAUGCGUAGAUAUCAGGAGGAACACCGGCGGCGAAGGCGGCCUGCUGGACCGUAACUGACGUUGAGGCUCGAAAGCGUGGGGAGCAAACAGGAUUAGAUACCCCUGUAAA